rnacentral:rRNA from 3 species
AAAUUGAAGAGUUUGAUCAUGGCUCAGAUUGAACGCUGGCGGCAGGCCUAACACAUGCAAGUCGAACGGUAACAGGAAGCAGCUUGCUGCUUCGCUGACGAGUGGCGGACGGGUGAGUAAUGUCUGGGAAACUGCCUGAUGGAGGGGGAUAACUACUGGAAACGGUAGCUAAUACCGCAUAAUGUCGCAAGACCAAAGAGGGGGACCUUCGGGCCUCUUGCCAUCGGAUGUGCCCAGAUGGGAUUAGCUUGUUGGUGGGGUA